UACGGGGGGGGCAAGCGUUGUUCGGAAUUACUGGGCGUAAAGGGCUCGUAGGCGGCCAACUAAGUCGGAUGUGAAAUCCCCAGGCUUAACCUGGGAACUGCAUCCGAUACUGGAUGGCUUGAAUCCGGGAGAGGGAUGCAGAGUUCCAGGUGUAGCGGUGAAAUGCGUAGAUAUCUGGAGGAAUACCGGUGGCGAAGGCGGCAUCCUGGACCGGCAUUGACGCUGAGUGAGCGAAAGCCAGGGGAGCAAACGGG
rnacentral:rRNA from 1 species